rnacentral:rRNA from 1 species
AACCCCUGUGAACAUACCUUAAUGUUGCCUCGGCGGAUCAGCCCGCGCCCCGUAAAACGGGACGGCCCGCCAGAGGACCCAAACUCUAAUGUUUCUUAUUGUAACUUCUGAGUAAAACAAACAAAUAAAUCAAAACUUUCAACAACGGAUCUCUUGGUUCUGGCAUCGAUGAAGAACGCAGCAAAAUGCGAUAAGUAAUGUGAAUUGCAGAAUUCAGUGAAUCAUCGAAUCUUUGAACGCACAUUGCGCCCGCUGGUAUUCCGGCGGGCAUGCCUGUUCGAGCGUCAUUUCAACCCUCAAGCCCCCGGGUUUGGUGUUGGGGAUCGGCUCUGCCUCACGGCGGUGCCGCCCCCGAAAUACAUUGGCGGUCUCGCUGCAGCCUCCAUUGCGUAGUAGCUAACACCUCGCAACUGGAACGCGGCGCGGCCAUGCCGUAAAACCCCAACUUCUGAAUGUUGACCUCGGAUCAGGUAGGAAUACCCGCUGAACUUAAGCAUAUCAAUAAGCGGAGGAA